rnacentral:rRNA from 1 species
CCCGCUGAACUUAAGCAUAUCAAUAAGCGGAGGAAAAGAACUAANCAGGAUUCCCCUAGUAACUGCGAGUGAAGCGNNGAAAAGCUCAAUUUAAAAUCUGGGGGUCCCUGUGCCCUCCGAGUUGUAUCUAGAGAAGUGCUAUCCGCGCUGGACGGUGUACAAGUCUCCUGGAACGGAGCGUCAUAGAGGGUGAGAAUCCCGUCUUUGACACGGACUACCAGGGCUUAUGUGAUGUGCUCUCAAAGAGUCGAGUUGCUUGGGAACGCAGCUCUAAUUGGGUGGUACACUUCAUCCAAGGCUAAAUACGGCCACGAGACCGAUAGCAAACCAGUACCGUGAGGGAAAGUUGAAAACAACUCUGGAGAGAGAGUUAAAAGAGCGUGAAACCGGUGGGGUGGAAACGGAUGGAGCCGACGAAUAUGACCUGCUCUAGUGGUGUGAAACUGGCUCGUCCGGUGGAUCGCUGCGAUUGUGUGGGUGCAGUGCGCUGAGGUGCGUGGUUGUCUGGUUUAAUGGUUGGAUAUAUAGCGGACUUCGCUUUCGAGUGUUGUUGCUUUCCUUCCGGCGAACUGUGGUUGCUGCGUUUAGUUGUGAGUGUGUGAUAAUGGUCUCUCGUUUGUUGCUCUCGAUGGACGCUUGCGUUCGUUUUUUGCUUCACUCGUUAGGCUGCGUUUGCACCUUGCUCUACUCGGUGUCAGAGUCGGUCACCCAUCCGACCCGUCUUGAAACACGG